GACGAACGCUGGCGGCGUGCUUAACACAUGCAAGUCGAACGGAGUGGCGAACGGGUGAGUAAAACGUGGGUGAUCUGCCUUGCACUUCGGGAUAAGCUUGGGAAACUGGGUCUAAUACCGGAUAGUGCAAGAUGAGCUCGCGGCCUAUCAGCUUGUUGGUGGGGUAAUGGCCUACGAAGGCGUCGACGGGUAGCCGGCAUGGGAGGGGGUACGGCGACAAUGGUACUGAGAGACGGACCAGACGCCUACGGGAGGCAGCAGUGGGGAAUAUUGCACAAUGGGCGGACGUCUGAUGCAGCGACGCCGGGUGGGGGAUGAAGGCCUUCGGGUUGUAAACGCCUUUCGUCAGGGACGCGGUACCUGUAUAAGAAGCACCGGCUAACUACGUGCCAGCAGCCGCGGUAAUAC
rnacentral:rRNA from 1 species